UUUUCAGCUCCAUUAUAAUCUUAUGGGACCACCAACAUAUAUGCAAUCUGUAUUGACCAAAAAGUCUUCAGACAGGUCAUAACUGUAUCAGUAACCUCUGGGGAACAUUUAAAAAUUUCCAAUGUCCUACCAUCAUCAGCCAAGCUUCUGAUUUAAUGAAUAUGAGAUGUGAUCUGAGCAUCAGAUUUUUUUCUUUUUAUUUCACCUAAUGUAAUUCAAAGAUGAUUGACACCACUGCAUUAGAGUUGUCUUCUCAACAAUGUGGAUUAAAGAGGCAAACAAACCGUAGCAUAAGUUUAAACCACAGAAAACAUCAAAACCUAGCCUGGCUUUGUUUAGUAUGUGUCAUAACUUGGAGAUUCAAAGGAUCUUUGCUUUUUAGCUUCCAAGUGAAAGGGUUUGUUUAUGGUGUCUACAAAGACACAGGAUUUUCUCCCUUCUCUGACAUAUGAUCUUUCUUUGUGGAGAAAGGGUCUUUUAUACUCUGGUGGUGCCAGCAUUACCCAGGGCGGCAAACUUUCAGCAAGGCAAUUUGAAAUGUAUCUGAAAAAAUGUAAGUGUAUAUACCAGGAAUUUAUGUAAAGAAAAUGCAUGGAAUAUGUUUAGAGGAUAUUAAUUGCAAGGUUAAUUAUAAAUUAAGAAAAAAAGAAACA
rnacentral:lncRNA from 1 species